GCCAAUCUAAGUAAGAAAUGCAGGGAAAAUCAAAUUUGAAAAUUUGAAAGCUGCAAUCCCCAAGUUAACGUUUACCAUCUUGUGGCUUUACAUUAACAUAUGUUAAAGAAUAGUUGUAAUUGUAAAUCUGCCUAAAUCAACAUACAGGGCACUUUCAACACAACACAACUAAAAAAUUGGGUAGUUAAAUUUUCUUGAUAACC
rnacentral:misc_RNA from 1 species